CGGUGAAAUAUCCCGCCGACGCGGGAUGUGAAAUGUUUGCCUUGCGGCAAACGUAAAAUAUCGCUCCUUCGUCGCAAUGUGAAAUAAAAU
rnacentral:sRNA from 1 species